rnacentral:rRNA from 1 species
AUUGAACGCUGGCGGCAUGCUUUACACAUGCAAGUCGAGCGGUAACAGGCCUUCGGGUGCUGACGAGUGGCGAACGGGUGAGUAAUGCAUCGGAACGUACCCAGAGGUGGGGGAUAACGCAGCGAAAGCUGUGCUAAUACCGCAUGUGAUCUGAGGAUGAAAGCGGGGGACCGAGCAGCAAUGUUUGGCCUCGCGCCUUUGGAGCGGCCGAUGUCGGAUUAGCUAGUUGGUGGGGUAAAGGCCUACCAAGGCGACGAUCCGUAGCUGGUCUGAGAGGACGACCCGCCACACUGUGACUGAGACACGGCCCAGACUCCUACGGGAGGCAGCAGUGGGGAAUUUUGGACAAUGGGCGCAAGCCUGAUCCAGCACUGCCGCGUGCGGGAAGAAGGCCUUCGGGUUGUAAACCGCUUUUGGCAGGAACGAAACGGUGUCCGCUAAUACCGGGCGCUAAUGACGGUACCUGCAGAAUAAGCACCGGCUAACUACGUG